GGAUUUUCUAAGGCGAAAUAAAUUGAGGUGCUGUAAAACUCGAAUCAAAAUCUUCAAAUAAAUUAGGAAAGAAGAGAAUUACCACGGAUGGAUAGCCCACUCACCAAGGAAGUGAUGCGGCCUACCAACUUCCUGUCUAGAGAAAGAGAUUACCAUUCGGGAAAGCCCAACUUCCGAUUAAAAGAAGAAACAUUAAUAAGAAAAUCAUCAGAAUUCUUUCUCUCUCUU